rnacentral:lncRNA from 1 species
GCUGAUUCCUGCCAAUUCCCCAGCAGAGGCGCCCGAAGGGCAGGGCCAGGGACCACAGGCGGCCAGGGAACAUCGAAAAGCUGGCCAUGAGCGGAGGGGGCCGGCAGAGGGGGAAGAGGCGGUGCCUGCGGAACGGAGCCCAGAGUGCAGGUAGACUGAGUCAUGUGUGGAGGCUGGGGCACAUUUCUGGGGUAAAGCUGGGUUCCUAAGGCCUGCCCCUUCCGUCCAGCACUGUGGAUGGUGGAUCCACGGUCCGCAGGCAGCGCUCACAGAGAGACCUCAUUCUAGAAUCCAAGCAGCAACACGAAGAGCCUGAUGGAGGCUUCCGGAAGGUGCAGCAUCCCCCCCAUGCUCCGCCCUACCCUGUUCUGGUUUUAGCUCAUGGCUACAUCUGGCCCCUUCUGAGUCUGCCUGUAUCCUCUGUUUUCCCAGCUGUACACGGAGCUCCGCAGGGAGAAUGAACGACUUCGUGAAGCCUUGACAGAGACCACCCUGCGUCUGGCACAGCUCAAGGUGGAGCUGGAGCGGGCCACACAGGUAUAAGUAUGUUGGGGAUAAUGAGAGGCAGAGCCCCAGUGGAGAGGGGCCUGGCCCUGGCUGGGAGGUUGGAGGGUUCCUUCUGCUGGGGACAGGGCUCUGGCUGGACUAGUGGAGUAAGGAUGUAGCUCCUGACUCUAGGUCUUCUCUGCCCUCACCAGCGGCAGGAACGCUUUGCUGAGAGGCCUGCCCUCCUUGAACUGGAGAGAUUUGUGAGUUGGGUUGCUGGGGGGUGGGCCCACUGUGUCCUAGACUAAUCCUGCCCCUUGUCUUUACCCUGCUCUGAACCUGCCCCAUGCCUUGUAGGAGCGCAGAGCUCUUGAGCGAAAGGCAGCAGAGCUGGAGGAGGAGCUGAAGGUAACUGGGGCUUGUGAUGGGGCAGUAGUCAGAGCCCAACCUGCACAGCCCAGCUGACUCCACCCUGUAUCCUAGGCCCUGUCUGAUCUCCGGGCUGACAACCAACGGCUCAAGGAUGAGAAUGCAGCAUUGAUCCGAGUCAUUAGCAAGCUAUCCAAGUGACUCUGAAGGAGUUCCCGCACCAUAUUUAUACUGCUGCUUCUGACACACGCACCCUUUCCCCCGC